rnacentral:rRNA from 1 species
ACAUGCAAGUAGAACGCUGAAGAGAGGAGCUUGCUCUUCUUGGAUGAGUUGCGAACGGGUGAGUAACGCGUAGGUAACCUGCCUUGUAGCGGGGGAUAACUAUUGGAAACGAUAGCUAAUACCGCAUAACAAUGGAUGACACAUGUCAUUUAUUUGAAAGGGGCAAUUGCUCCACUACAAGAUGGACCUGCGUUGUAUUAGCUAGUAGGUGAGGUAAUGGCUCACCUAGGCGACGAUACAUAGCCGACCUGAGAGGGUGAUCGGCCACACUGGGACUGAGACACGGCCCAGACUCCUACGGGAGGCAGCAGUAGGGAAUCUUCGGCAAUGGGGGCAACCCUGACCGAGCAACGCCGCGUGAGUGAAGAAGGUUUUCGGAUCGUAAAGCUCUGUUGUAAGUCAAGAACGGGUGUGAGAGUGGAAAGUUCACACUGUGACGGUAGCUUACCAGAAAGGGACGGCUAACUACGUGCCAGCAGCCGCGGUAAUACGUAGGUCCCGAGCGUUGUCCGGAUUUAUUGGGCGUAAAGCGAGCGCAGGCGGUUUGAUAAGUCUGAAGUUAAAGGCUGUGGCUCAACCAUAGUUCGCUUUGGAAACUGUCAAACUUGAGUGCAGAAGGGGAGAGUGGAAUUCCAUGUGUAGCGGUGAAAUGCGUAGAUAUAUGGAGGAACACCGGUGGCGAAAGCGGCUCUCUGGUCUGUAACUGACGCUGAGGCUCGAAAGCGUG